rnacentral:rRNA from 1 species
AAUAGAUACCCAGGUAGUCCACGCCGUAAACGAUGAGUGCUAAGUGUUAGAGGGUUUCCGCCCUUUAGUGCUGCAGCUAACGCAUUAAGCACUCCGCCUGGGGAGUACGGCCGCAAGGCUGAAACUCAAAGGAAUUGACGGGGGCCCGCACAAGCGGUGGAGCAUGUGGUUUAAUUCGAAGCAACGCGAAGAACCUUACCAGGUCUUGACAUCCUCUGCCAACCCUAGAGAUAGGGCGUUCCCCCUUCGGGGGACAGAGUGACAGGUGGUGCAUGGUUGUCGUCAGCUCGUGUCGUGAGAUGUUGGGUUAAGUCCCGCAACGAGCGCAACCCUUGAUCUUAGUUGCCAGCAUUCAGUUGGGCACUCUAAGGUGACUGCCGGUGACAAACCGGAGGAAGGUGGGGAUGACGUCAAAUCAUCAUGCCCCUUAUGACCUGGGCUACACACGUGCUACAAUGGAUGGUACAAAGAGCUGCGAACCCGCGAGGGUAAGCGAAUCUCAUAAAACGCCAUUCUCAGUUCGGAUUGU